rnacentral:rRNA from 1 species
CCUGCCCAGAAGCGGGGGAUAACACCUGGAAACAGAUGCUAAUACCGCAUAACAACUUGGACCGCAUGGUCCGAGCUUGAAAGAUGGCUUCGGCUAUCACUUUUGGAUGGUCCCGCGGCGUAUUAGCUAGAUGGUGGGGUAACGGCUCACCAUGGCAAUGAUACGUAGCCGACCUGAGAGGGUAAUCGGCCACAUUGGGACUGAGACACGGCCCAAACUCCUACGGGAGGCAGCAGUAGGGAAUCUUCCACAAUGGACGAAAGUCUGAUGGAGCAACGCCGCGUGAGUGAAGAAGGGUUUCGGCUCGUAAAACUCUGUUGUUAAAGAAGAACAUAUCUGAGAGUAACUGUUCAGGUAUUGACGGUAUUUAACCAGAAAGCCACGGCUAACUACGUGCCAGCAGCCGCGGUAAUACGUAGGUGGCAAGCGUUGUCCGGAUUUAUUGGGCGUAAAGCGAGCGCAGGCGGUUUUUUAAGUCUGAUGUGAAAGCCUUCGGCUCAACCGAAGAAGUGCAUCGGAAACUGGGAAACUUGAGUGCAGAAGAGGACAGUGGAACUCCAUGUGUAGCGGUGAAAUGCCG